rnacentral:rRNA from 1 species
ACGGGUGAGUAAUGUCUGGGGAUCUGCCCGAUAGAGGGGGAUAACCACUGGAAACGGUGGCUAAUACCGCAUAACGUCGCAAGACCAAAGAGGGGGACCUUCGGGCCUCUCACUAUCGGAUGAACCCAGAUGGGAUUAGCUAGUAGGCGGGGUAACGGCCCACCUAGGCGACGAUCCCUAGCUGGUCUGAGAGGAUGGCCAGCCACACUGGAACUGAGACACGGUCCAGACUCCUACGGGAGGCAGCAGUGGGGAAUAUUGCACAAUGGGCGCAAGCCUGAUGCAGCCAUGCCGCGUGUAUGAAGAAGGCCUUCGGGUUGUAAAGUACUUUCAGCGGGGAGGAAGGCGAUGUGGUUAAUAACCGCGUUGAUUGACGUUACCCGCAGAAGAAGCACCGGCUAACUCCGUGCCAGCAGCCGCGGUAAUACGGAGGGUGCAAGCGUUAAUCGGAAUUACUGGGCGUAAAGCGCACGCAGGCGGUCUGUUAAGUCAGAUGUGAAAUCCCCGGGCUUAACCUGGGAACUGCAUUUGAAACUGGCAGGCUUGAGUCUCGUAGAGGGGGGUAGAAUUCCAGGUGUA